AAAGAGGCAAACUGGUGCGCGGCGGCGGUGUCUCUGCCGCUUUCUCCAGGCUGCUCCGGGUUACCGGCGCCUCCGGCAAGGAAGUUUUCCGCCUUCGGAGCCUCCGUCCAGAAGAAGCAGGUCAGAGAAACAUGGCUACAAGGCGAAUUGCACAGGAGACAUUUGAUGCUGUGCUACAAGAAAAAGCUAUCAGAUACCACAUGGACCCCAGUGGGGAGGCUGUAGGUGAAGCUCUGCAAUUUAAAGCUCAAGAUCUUAUAAGGACACUGCCAAGAGUCAGAGCAGAUAUGUAUGACGACAUUCACAGCGACAGCAGAUACACUCUGGGUGCAUCUGUAGCUCACUCUCGAGAUGCUGCGAGGGAAGGCCUGAGAGGUGAUGUAUUCCCAGGACCUUCCUUCAGGUCAAACAAUCCUUCUGUCAAUGAAGACAACUAUUUUCGCAAAGACUGUGGCCGAGAUCUGGAAUUUCCCCACCCUGACUCCCGAGAACAGAUCUUUGGCCACCGGAAAUUGGGACAUUUCCGUUCUCCAGACUGGAAAUUUACACUCCGUGGCUCUUGGGAACAAGACCUUGGCCACCCAGUUUCUCAAGAAUCGUCUUGGUCGCAGGAAUAUAAUUUUGGUCCUUCUGCACUACUGGGGGACUUUGGGUCCUCCAGGCUGAUUGAAAAAGAGUGUUUGGAGAAAGAAAGUCGGGAUUUUGACGUGGACCGUCCAGGGGAGGCAGACCCUGUGCUCAGGGCCAGUGGCCAAGUCCAGGGCAGAGGCCGGGGUCUAAACAUCGUUGACCAGGAGGGUACCCUCCUAGGAAAGGGGGAGUCUCAGGGCCUGCUUACACCUAAAGCGGGGGUUGGGAAACUUGUCACCCUGAGGAAUGUGAGCACAAAAAAAGUACCCACCAUAAAUCGUAUCACUCCCAAAACUCAGGGCACUAAUCAAAUCCAGAAAACCACCCCAAGUUCUGACGUGACCCUGGGUGUAAACCCAGGGACAGAAGAUACCCAAUUCCCCGCGCAAAAGAUCCCUCUGGGGCUCCAUCUAAAGGACAUUCGUCUCCCAAGAAGAAAAAUGAGUUUUGAUAUCAUAGAUAAGUCUGAUGUUUUUUCAAGAUUUGGGAUAGAAAUCAUCAAAUGGGCAGGAUUUCACACCAUAAAAGAUGAUGUUAAAUUUUCCCAGCUUUUCCAGACUCUCUUUGAACUUGAAACUGAAACCUGUGCUAAAAUGCUUGCCUCGUUUAAAUGCUCCUUAAAACCAGAGCACAGAGAUUUUUGCUUUUUUACUAUCAAAUUUUUAAAGCACUCUGCUUUGAAAACGCCCAGAGUUGAUAAUGAGUUUUUAAACAUGCUUUUAGACAAAGGUGCUGUGAAGACCAAAAAUUGCUUUUUUGAAAUCAUAAAGCCCUUUGACAAGUACAUCAUGAGGCUGCAAGACCGGCUUCUAAAGAGUGUCACGCCCCUGCUCAUGGCCUGCAAUGCCUACGAGCUGAGUGUCAAAAUGAAGACCCUUAGCAACCCCCUGGACUUGGCCAUUGCCCUAGAGACCACCAAUUCUCUCUGCCGGAAGUCUUUAGCUCUUUUGGGACAGACAUUCUCCUUAGCCUCCUCUUUCCGGCAAGAGAAAAUCUUAGAAGCUGUCGGCCUUCAAGAUAUAGCUCCCUCCCCUGCCGCAUUCCCCAACUUUGAAGACUCCACUCUGUUUGGGAGAGAGUACAUAGAUCAUCUGAAGGCCUGGCUGGUCAACAGUGGGUGUCCACUCCAGGUCAAGAAAGCUGAACCUGCGCCAACUCAAGAUGAGAAAACGGUUCCUCCUCCUGAACCUGAAAUUCAGGCCAAAGCUCUGAGUGGUCUAAGUGAUGCUGUCCCCCAGCGAGCAGAUCACAAGGUGGUGGACAUCAUCAACCAGCUGGUCACACGUGUCGUUGGAGGCAGCCUAUCUCCUAAAGAGAGAGCUCUUCUCAAGGAAGACCCUGCUUACUGGUUUUUGUCUGAUGACAGUAGUCUGGAGUAUAACUAUUACAAGCUGAAACUGGCAGAAGCACAGCGGAUAAACCAGACCCCACCAGGAGUGGGUCAGAAGCCAAUGGCUGCAGAAUGUGCAGUCCGGGCCAUGCUGUAUGCCCGGGCAGUCCAGAGCCUCAAGAAGAGGCUCCUCCCAGGGCGACGGCGGGGGCUGCUCCGAGCUCCAGGGCUCCAGGGCUGGAAGGUGAGGAGAGCAACCACCGGAACCCAGACCCUCCUCUCCUCGGGCACCCGGCUGAAACACCACCUCCGGCAAGUUCCAGGCUCCUUGCAGGGAAAGCCGCCCCAGCCAGAUGGAAAUGAUGCUGCCAAGGACUGCCCGCCAGACUCCGCCCGGCCCUCUCCUCAGAACCUGAGCUCAGAAGCUGCAGGCCCAUCCCCCAAGCCAGCGGGAGUGGACAUAUCCGAAGCCCCUCAGAGCUCCUCUCCCUGCUUGUCUGCUGACGUUGACUUGAAGACUAUGGAGACUGCAGAGAAACUGGCCAAAUUUGUUGCUCAGGUGGGACCAGAGAUUGAACAAUUCAGCAUAGAAAACAGCGCCGACAACCCUGACCUGUGGUUUCUACAAGACCAAAAUAGCUCAGCUUUCAAAUUCUACCGAAAGAAGGUAUUUGAACUGUGCCCAUCGAUUUGUUUUACAUCACCUUCGCCGAACCUCCAUGCCAGCGAGAGCGCCCUAGAAUCCAUGGAAGGGGAAGGAGAAUUUGCUAAUGAGCCUCCUCACCAGGAGGUUGAGCUGGACAGCCUAGAGGUGAUGCCUGAGGAGGAGGAGGAGGAGGAGGAAGAGGAAGAGAUGGAAGAAGAGGAGGAAGAGGAAGAUGAGGAGGAGGAGGCCCUCACUCCUGGAGGGCCCUCCAGGGCUUCAGGAGAAGUAGCUACUUCUGAGGGCUCCGAGGGCAGCUCCCCGACUGAUGGCCUUCCAAGCGAGGCAGCUGAAGAUGGCCCUGCUGGCACGUCUGGCCUAUCCCAGGCCUGCUUUCCCCGGAAGAGAGUCAGCAGCAAGUCAUUGAAGGUCGGCAUGAUUCCGGCUCCCAAGAGGCUGUGUCUCAUCCAAGAGCCCAAAGUUCAUGAACCGGUUCGUAUCGCCUAUGACAGGCCUGGGGGUCGUCCUGUGUCCAAAAAGAAGGUUGAGAACUGGGAAGGUGACUGGCUUGACGAAACCCAAGGACUUGGACUUCACCCAGCAAAAGCUGACCGACAAGAACCUGGGGUUCCAGAUGCUGCAGAAGAUGGGCUGGAAGGAAGGCCACGGCCUGGGCUCCUGUGGGAAGGGCAUCCGGGAGCCCGUUGGCAUGGGUACGGCCUCCGAAGGGGAGGGGUUGGGCGCCGAAGGGCAGGAGCACAAGGAAGACACGUUUGACGUCUUCCGUCAGAGGAUGAUGCAGAUGUACAGACACAAACGAGCCAACAAAUAGAUGAAAACCAUUGGUGAGAAAGAUAAGCCUCGAAGCAACCAUUAUUCUAAAAACGCCACCUCUGCCCCGGAUCCACCCUGGAGCCAGAGCCCAAGUCAGUUCAAACUUAAACGGGAUGUAAUCUGUACUCUGGCACCGCAGCCUGUCGGUGGAGCGCUGAAGCUCUGAACAAGUGGAGAUACUUGAUUCCAUGAAUGUGUUAUUUAUGGAGUCUCCUCUCUUAAUUGCAUCCCAAGAGACUUAACACAAUUUAGCAACGGUACCAUACAGCUGUCUUCAGCGGGGAGUAGUCACGACACUGAUGAAACUUUCCCCCAAUUUUUAAUUCUCUUUAGAAUCCACAAAGAAAGCCACAGUUUGUGUUUUCUUUUUAAACCACAUAUGAGGUUUCCUACAAAGGGGUGGGGAUAAACUCUCCCAGACUCUUCAUUUUUUGCAUGUGUGCAGUGGAAAUAAGUGUUUUGUUAGGGCCCUUUUACAGAACUGGGAGGAUCCUCUUGGGUGGGCUUGCUCUUUCGAGGUAUAUGACUGCCACCCCUUCCAGCUUCUCUCUGCGCUUUGCAACUACAUGUUAAAUUCUCAGGCUGUGAUAACCUCAGCGCUUCUUCCUAAAACAGCAGUGUGGAAGUUUUAAAUAUGUGCUAAAAUCUAGAUAACUUUGCGGUUCUGAUGGUACAUCAGAGGAACACAGCAGUGAGUUACCUUGUCAGCUGCUUGUGUUGGCUGCCAAGAAACCCUUGCAUUCUCAGACCACAGACCUCCCAAUUAUAGUCCUGCUUCUGUGCUUCUGUCUUAUCGAUGUCUGUCCUGCCGCUCACCAUGACAUCUCACCUGCCUGGUGCCACCUCUCUACAUGUCAGGUAUAGCCAGAUCUCUGCCUGCUUCUGAUCACUUCUAUUGCUUUGGCAUCCAGCACAUCUUUAUGGCCAUGGCAAUGCUGGCGGUCCUUCAGCAGAGGCGAACCAGCCUGCAAGGGUGGUGUGUUUUGGGAGAAGCACACUGGAAGUUCACCUUCUACUCCUCUCUUUCCUAGUCCUUCCGUCAGCCGUCCAUGUUGGCUGUGGGUUGGGCCACAGGAUGGAAUUCUGAGAGCGGCCUUGGUCACAAAGUACCUGUUGGCCUGAGUGAGAUGGACAUCCCCCAGCACAUUUCUCUUUUUUUUGGAGCGUAGCUCUGAAUGUCAUAUUCACUCUAGCUAGUGUUCAUCCUUGACUUUCUCCACUUUUAUUCACAAGCAAAAUGCUUUAGGCAUUCUCAGGAUGUGAGCCUUGUCCCCACAACCUCCUGCCACUCCUCCUGGGGACAUGAACCUUUUGCAAGUAUUAAAGGAAACACCUACUUCUUGAGCCUGCAAAGUCUUCUGAGCACUUACAUGACGUUUCUCCUGUGGAGUCAACAUUGAGGCGUUGCAGGUGCCAGGGUGGAGCAUGGUGGAGUGCCCUCUGCCAGCUGCUAGCCGGGGACCAGUGCGUGCUGGCCCCCUGUGCAGUCUUGCUCUCUCAGCAAAGGAUGCUCUGCAGGGAACUUGUGAGUGCGUGUGCGGGUGUGUGGCCUUGUCAAAGUCACAGCGUCUUUUCUGUCAUUCUAGUUCCAGGGUCUCUCCCGUGAGGACAACAGGCAUCCGGAAAGUGCUAACUCGCCACUUUGGGUGCUUACUGUCUCUGGCUUGUUUCCAUCACUGGAAAUCAAAUAGAGAAUUUUAGUGUUUUUGGUCCUUGGUAAAACCUAGAAGACGUUUGUGAUGUUACAAAAUGCAAGUUUUGUUUUUAAUCUAAGAAAUUGUGAAUGUUAAUCACUUAGCAGUUGCAAUAAAUGUAGAGGAACCCGA